UCUACAGCUGGAACAUGAGGUGGAGCUGGACUCUGUUCUACAGCUGGAACAUGAGGUGGACCUGUACUCUGUUCUACAGCUGGAACUUGAGGUAGAGCUGGUUUCUCAUCCACAGUUGUAAGCUCUUCUACAGCAGGAACUGUGUCUACUGCUGGGGCAUUUUCUUUAUUUGGCUCUACCUUCUGGCUUGGUGUGAAGGGAGUCAUAUUCUGAGUCUGUAACACACAGACACACACAGCUGUUAACACUUCAUUUAAUUUUUCAUUUUUCAUUUUUCAUUUCAUCAUCACUGCUAGCAGGAAGCACUUGAGGGAACCAGCUAGAAGAGGUUCUUAAACCUUUUCAGCCAGUAAUCCAUUUAACUGCAAUAUUGAACUUUAGCAUCAAUUCAUUUUAAUGUGGACAGCAGGGGGUGGUAGAUGUUUAGGGGACAGUCUUCAGCUGCAACAACUAAUCGAAUCGAUAAUAAUCAAUAAUGAAAUUGGUUGUGAGCGAAUGCCGUCAUCCUCAUCAUGUGAAAAUGGUGUAGUUUAAUGAAGUGUUAUUGUGUAAACUGUUUGUUUGUAACUUCUGGACAGUUGCACUGGAUCUGUUCUGUCGUGACUCGCGAGCAUCAGGUUGCCUAAUCGACUCGAUCACGACAUCGUCAUGAUUCAAUUAAAAUGAAAGAAGAAAUCAGCAUGAGUGAAUGUGUUCAAGCUGAAAUCCCACAUGCACUCGUCAACAAACAGCUACUAUAAGCUUUAAAAUGUCUAAAUUAAAGAUUGUUAAACUCAA